ACUAUGCUCGGGACUGCAGUAGCCGCAAUAUUGCAAUUGAUAAUAUGUUUCAGACGAGAAAUAACUCCAUCGGUUUGCUCAUGCCGAAAGGUUAUCACAUUUCUGUAGUCAUUACAAUUGUAAACUGUCAAUACGUUGCAUUACGCACCACUGUGUGGUAGAGCUCUGCUGAUCGAUACUGAUGUGUAUGGCCUCAAUCGCAGAGGCAUCAAUUGCACUAGGAUUCAAUAUUACUUAUUGGUUCGUUAGAUUAUUAUUCGUUAUUCCAGUUUCUUAAGUCGGAAGAUGAAGUCGAUUGUAACAAGUGUCUUGGCCUUAGGCAUUCUUGCUGCCGUUAUUUUCUGUUCACCAGUGCCUACGGAAAAUUCUGGAGAAGUGGUUUGCAACAAAGAUGGUUGUAGAUUUCCUGUCAAAGAUUACGGACCUUCUGUAACGCCUUACACUCCGACGCUAAAACCAAGAGUACGGACCAUGAUUGUACCACCUUUGUGGGUUAACCAAACUUGGAUGGAAAUAAUUGCACGAUCGUCCUCUACUAUGGCGCCUGAAGAAGACCAAAGUGCAGCGACAUCCGUGGAAGAUAAUUACGAUGAGAACGAAGAAGAUAACAUGGUGUGACCAUAAUACUAAAUAAUUCGUUUAAAUUGAUAUUUUUGUAUGAAAAUAAUAUAGAAAUAAUAUAGAUGUAAAAUUACAGUUUGUUUCAGUAUGUCCUAAAUGUAGAAGUGUACAUAAUCUGAUAAAUAUAUGCCUUCACGUGUUACCCUGAA